rnacentral:rRNA from 1 species
CCGGCUGCGGAUGGUCAUGCGGCGCAUUAGCUUGUUGGCGGGGUAACGGCCCACCAAGGCGACGAUGCGUAGGGGUUCUGAGAGGAAGGUCCCCCACACUGGUACUGAGACACGGACCAGACUCCUACGGGAGGCAGCAGUGAGGAAUAUUGGUCAAUGGCCGGGAGGCUGAACCAGCCAAGUCGCGUGAGGGAAGACGGCCCUACGGGUUGUAAACCUCUUUUGCCGGGGAGCAAAGGGCGGGAUGUGUCCCGCGUCGAGAGUACCCGGAGAAAAAGCAUCGGCUAACUCCGUGCCAGCAGCCGCGGUAAUACGGAGGAUGCGAGCGUUAUCCGGAUUUAUUGGGUUUAAAGGGUGCGCAGGCGGGAUGUCAAGUCAGCGGUAAAAUCGGGAGGCUCAACCUCUCUCAGCCGUUGAAACUGGCGUUCUUGAGUGGGCGAGAAGUAUGCGGAAUGCGUGGUGUAGCGGUGAAAUGCAUAGAUAUCACGCAGAACCCCGAUUGCGAAGGCAGCAUACCGGCGCCCGACUGACGCUCAUGCACGAAAGCGUGGGUAUCGAACAGGAUUAGAUACCCUGGUAGUCCACGCAGUAAACGAUGAAUACUCGCUGUG